rnacentral:lncRNA from 1 species
AAUGAGUGAGAAUGGAGGAUUCUGACUUUAUCUUGCAGCAUGGGAUCUGGGAUCUGUGGCUGCAGUCAAAGGGAAGCUUGUCAAAACCAGAGGGUGUAAUCAACAAGCAUGUCCUAUUGUGAAGCGAGGCAGACACCUAGCGUCUGGUUCAAAUUCAUUCACUGGUUCCCUAACAGUCUUGGAGGACCUCCCCACAUCUGUGUUGGUCUGCAAUUAACAGAAUUGCUGUAGGCUGAUUAAACCACGAGAGAAGGGUGGCUUGGAGUUGUACACCACCUGCAGUUGAACACCGGUAUGGGUGAGAUUUGAGCUACAGAGUUGUCUUUAUCCUCCAAGGCAUUUUGUUGCUCACGCUGGUAUU